rnacentral:rRNA from 1 species
UGAGGAAUAUUGCCCAAUGGACGCAAGUCUGAGGCAGCAACGCCGCGUGGAGGAAGACGGCCCUUGGGUUGUAAACUCCUUUUUUCAGGGAAGAGAAUGGACGGUACCUGAAGAAUAAGUCACGGCUAACUACGUGCCAGCAGCCGCGGUAAUACGUAGGUGGCAAGCGUUAUCCGGAAUUACUGGGCGUAAAGCGCACGCAGGCGGUCUUUUAAGUUUGACGUGAAAGCUCUCGGCUUAACUGGGAGAGGUCGUUGAAGACUGGAAGGCUUGAGGCAAUGAGAGGGGUGUAGAAUUCCCGGUGUAGUGGUGGAAUGCGUAGAUAUCGGGGGGAAUACCAGUGGCGAAAGCGGCACCCUAGCGUUAGCCUGACGCUCAUGUGCGAAAGCGUGGGGGAGCGAACGGGAUUAGAUACCCCGGUAGUCCACGCCGUAAACGAUGAACACUAGGUGUAGGUGAUGUGAAAGUCAUCUGUACCGAAGCCAACGCGUUAAGUGUUCCGCCUGGGGAGUACGGCCGACG